AUGUGGCAUAGAAAUGACACCCUGGUCACAGAAUUUAUUCUGAUGGGGCUAACGGAUCGCCCGGAGCUACAGCCUGUACUCUUUGUGCUCUUUCUAUUUAUCUACCUCAUCACAGUGGUAGGAAACCUUGGGUUGCUUAUGCUGAUCUGGAUAGAUUCUCUGCUUCACACCCCCAUGUACUUUUUUCUCUCGAGUUUGUCCUUCCUGGAUCUUUGUUACUCCACAAAUGUCACUCUCAAAAUGCUGAUGAAUUCCUUCUCAGAAAAGAAAACCAUUUCUUUUGCUUCCUGUUUAGUGCAGUGUUAUUUCUUUAUCGCCAUGGUGAUUACAGAAUUCUACAUGCUGGCCGUUAUUGCCUAUGACCGGUACGUGGCCAUCUGUAGACCCUUGCUUUACCACAGCAGGAUGACGAGGGCUGUGUGUCUCCGCUUAGUAGUUGCUCCAUAUAUAUAUGGAUUUCUUAGCGGGCUGAUGGAAACCAUGUGGACGUAUAGCUUGACAUUCUGUGCUUCCAACACAAUCAACCAUUUCUAUUGCGCUGAUCCCCCUCUCAUAAGACUGGCUUGCUCCGAUACUUUCAUCAAGGAAAUGUCAAUGUUUAUCGUGGCUGGCUUAAACCUCUCCAACUCACUCCUGAUCAUUCUCAUUUCAUACGUCUUCAUUCUGAUAGCCGUUCUGAGGAUGCGCUCUACUGAGGGAAGGAGAAAAGCCUUCUCCACCUGUGGAUCACAUUUGAUAGUGGUUGGCACUAAGUAGCCUGUGUCCGACGGUUGGUGCAGCCUUGAUAAGGAUAAGGAUUUCAUUAGUUCCCAAAUAUUCUUCAGAAACUCAGGAAGUUCCCGCAGCAGGAAAUACUGGAGCAGAAGACAAGAUGGCAGCAGCACCAGCAGGUGAUUAUGAAUCUCUGUUGCUGGGGGACUACAGGGCAGUGUUGUCUAAAUAGGAAAGAAUUUCCAUUUUCCCUCUGGAGAAGACACUCAUUUAAAGGAUUAUUUGCAUCUUGAGAUCCUUUGCAUUCUGUGUGUCCCAUGGGAAACGGGAGCAAACAAA